rnacentral:rRNA from 1 species
CAGGACGAACGCUGGCGGCGUGCCUAAUACAUGCAAGUCGAACGGUCUUUCUAUGGAAGCUUGCUUCCACUGAGAAGAUAGUGGCGAACGGGUGAGUAACACGUGGGUAACCUGCCCAUAAGAGGGGGAUAACAUCCGGAAACGGGUGCUAAUACCGCAUAGUUUUCUUGAUUGCAUGAUUGAGAAAGGAAAGACGGCCUUUGUGCUGUCGCUUAUGGAUGGACCCGCGGCGUAUUAGUUAGUUGGUGAGGUAACGGCUCACCAAGACGAUGAUACGUAGCCGACCUGAGAGGGUGAUCGGCCACAUUGGGACUGAGACACGGCCCAAACUCCUACGGGAGGCAGCAGUAGGGAAUCUUCCGCAAUGGACGAAAGUCUGACGGAGCAACGCCGCGUGAGUGAAAGAAGGUUUUCGGAUCGUAAAACUCUGUUGUCAGAGAAGAACAAGUUGGAGAGUAACUGCUCCAGCCUUGACGGUAUCUGACCAGAAAGCCACGGCUAACUACGUGCCAGCCGCCGC